rnacentral:rRNA from 1 species
UUAACGGAGAGUUUGAUCCUGGCUCAGAAUAAACGCUGGCGGCGUGCCUAACACAUGCAAGUCGAACGGACAGAGAUCUUUCGGGGUCAAUGUUAGUGGCGCACGGGUGAGUAACGCGUGGGUAACCAACCCUUAAGACUGGAAUAACUCUCCGAAAGGGGUGCUAAUACCGGAUAAGACCACGAUAACUUCGGUUAACGCGGUAAAAGGUGGCGAGUCUCCUUAAAAAAGACGCUAUCACUUAAGGACGGGCCCGCGUGACAUUAGAUUGAUGGCAGGGUAAUGGCCUACCAUAUUGUCUUCGAUGUCUAGCUGGUCUGAGAGGAUGAUCAGCCACACUGGAACUGGAACACGGUCCAGACUCCUACGGGAGGCAGCAGUGAGGAAUUUUUCGCAAUGGGGGAAACCCUGACGAAGCAACGCCGCGUGAGUGAAGAAGGCCUAUUGGUUGUAAAGCUCUGUCAAUGGGAAGGAAAGGCGCUAGCAGUAAUAUAGCUGGCGUUUGACGUUUACUUUGGAGGAAGCCCCGGCUAACUCCGUGCCAGCAGCCGCGGUAACACGGAGGGGGCAAGCGUUAUUCGGAAUCAUUGGGUGUAAAGCGCAUGUAGGCGGUUUAGUAUGUCAAAUGUGAAAGCUCGGGGCUUAACUCCGAAAGUGCAUUUGAAACUGCUUUACUUGAGGCUCGGAGAGGAAAGUGGAAUUCCCAGUGUAGAGGUGGAAUGUGUAGAUAUUGGGAGGAACACCGGUGGCGAAAGCGACUUUCUGGACGAGAACUGACGCUAAGAUGCGAAAGCAUGGGUAGCAAACAGGAUUAGAUACCCUGGUAGUCCAUGCUGUAAACGAUGGGUACUAGAUGUCGGGGGUAUUGACCCCUUCGGUGUCGUAGCUAACGCGUUAAGUACCCCACCUGGGGACUACGGCCGCAAGGCUAAAACUCAAAGGAAUUGACGG